CCCGCCGUAGCUCAGCGGCAGAGCGCCCGGCUGUAGUGGGACGGGGCGGCUGGAGGCCCAGCCCCUCCGGCCGAUACCGGGUGGUCCGGGGUUCGAUUCCCCGCGGCGGGA
rnacentral:tRNA from 1 species